AUAACCAACAACAGAGAAAUCAUCACUGGCAGAAUAAAAGAGACCCAUAGAAGGAGUGCCUUUAAGGUAUCUCAAAACAUGUAGGGCAGCAGUCAUAUAGGAAAGUCUGGGGCAUUUUAGGAAUUGACUCAGAUGUUGAACAGCAAAGCAUAUGUUAGGCCUAGUAUGAGUCAGAAAUAACAGCUUACCAACAAGACUCCUAUACUGAUCAGGAAAGGUUAAAAGGUCACCAGAAUCAGCAUAAAGUUUGACAUUAAUAUCCAAAGGACAAACAACAGAGGAUACAUUUGUACAAUCAAACUGAUGUGAAGUUUGACAUUAAUAUCCAAAGGACAAACAACAUGGGAUACAUUUGUACAAUCAAACUAAUGCAGUAAAUCAGAAACAUACUUAUGCUGAUUAAGGAUCAUUCCACCAGGAACAACUGACAUUUCAAGGCCCAAAAAAUAAUGCAAAGACCCUAUGUCUUUGAUUUUAAACUGAUCAUCCAGAAACACUUUAAGGGCAGUAAUUUCAUCACUGUCAUCCCCAGUAAUAAUAAUAUCAUCCACAUAGACUGCCACAACCAUAAGGGCCCCAUGAAUAGUCAUUCAAAGAAUGUGUGUACCCUUUGGAGUAAAGAGUAGAAGACAAUUUGGCAUACCAUUGUCUGGAUGCUUGUCUCGGCCCAUAUAGGGAUUUCUUGAGCUUACAAACCAGAGGACAAGAUGUAGAAGAAAAAGAACCAGAAAAAGGAGCAGAGACUGUCAAACCUGGGGGAAGUUUCAUAUAGACUUCCUCAUCAAGUAGAAGGAGAGACUGUCAAACCUGGAGGAAGUUUCAUGUAAACAUCCUCAUCCAAAUCACCAUGAAGAAAGGCAUUAUUAACAUCAAGUUGAAAGAGAGGCCAAUGAUUCUUGACAGCCACAGCAAUGAGACAUUUCACAGUGGUCAUUUUAAUCACAGGAGAAAAGUCUUCAGUAAAAUCAAUCCCUUCAACUUGAGUAUCACCCCUAAUAAAAAGCCUAGCUUUAUACCUUUCAACAGUACCAUCAGCCUUGUAUUUGAUUUUAUAGACCCAUUU
rnacentral:lncRNA from 1 species